GGAAUUUUGUAAGAUUUAUUGAGAAUAGAACAGGCUUCCUGUCCCCUAACCCUGUGGUGGAUCCUGAGAAGAGGGAAGCCUAGGUCUGGGUGGUGUGGGCUGGAGGCCCUACCCACCUGCAAAUGGGGACUCCCAGGCCCCCGCGGGUGCAUACAGUGAACAAAGUGAUGGGGCUCCCUAUCUCCUGCCGAGCCCAGUGGGUGGCCUGACUCUGGUGAGCACCACACACCCCAGAGUCCCAUCUUCCAGGAAAAGCUGGGGUCUUACAGCAGAGAGGCUCUGGGAGCACAUCUCCCCUUCUGGUCCCCAAAGGCCCCCAGCUGCCUGGCCCCUGGCCCACUAACCCAGGCAUGCUCCUUCCAGCACUGGGCAGAGGAGUCAGGAAGAUGCCCUUCCUCACCCCCACUGACGCCACCUCUCCAGGGACCUUAACGCAGGGGCUGGGAAUGGAAUCGGAAGCUAGAAUGAGCAGGCAGCAGCAGCUCCCCUAGGUAUCUGCCUCUGAGAGGACCUGAGGACAGAGGCGAGGCC
rnacentral:lncRNA from 1 species